AUGUUAGAAACCACACAUGUUAGAAAUAAUAAGGUAAAAUCAGAAUUGCACAUUCUAAUCACAAGUCAAAAUAUGAUCAAAACAUUUCAAAUAAAAUGCAAGCAUGUAAUGCAACAUCAAAAUGGAAAUCCGGGCUGCAUGUACAUCAUACAAAAUAACGCACAAAAUGUCAGUCCAAAACCAACACAACUUGAUACACAUGUCUUACAAUGA